rnacentral:rRNA from 1 species
UCAAACUGGAGAUGGCGACCGGCGCACGGGUGAGUAACACGUAUCCAACCUGCCGAUAACUCGGGGAUAGCCUUUCGAAAGAAAGAUUAAUACCCGAUGGCAUAAUAGAACCGCAUGGUUUGAUUAUUAAAGAAUUUCGGUUAUCGAUGGGGAUGCGUUCCAUUAGGCAGUUGGUGGGGUAACGGCCCACCAAACCUUCGAUGGAUAGGGGUUCUGAGAGGAAGGUCCCCCACAUUGGAACUGAGACACGGUCCAAACUCCUACGGGAGGCAGCAUG